GGAGAUUUCUAGGAAGAUCUCUUCGAAGGCAUCUUCAACAAGACAAGGCUAAAUACUCCUGGGUGACCGAUAGCGAAGUAGUACCGUGAGGGAAGGGUGAAAAGAACCCCCAUCGGGGAGUGAAAUAGAACAUGAAAC
rnacentral:ncRNA from 1 species